rnacentral:rRNA from 1 species
AGAGUUUGAUCCUGGCUCAGGAUGAACGCUGGCGGCGUGCCUAACACAUGCAAGUCGAACGGGAAACUCCACUUCAGUGGAGCGGAGAGUGGCGCACGGGUGAGUAACACGUAGCUUACCUGCCCCGAAGAGGGGGAUAACUCACGGAAACGUGAGCUAAUACCCCAUAAGCUCCCAAUCUAUAGAGGAUUGCGAGAAAAGCUCCGGCGCUUUGGGAUGGGGCUGCGGCCCAUCAGCUAGUUGGUAAGGUAACGGCUUACCAAGGCAACGACGGGUAGGGGGCCUGAGAGGGUGGCCCCCCACACUGGGACUGAGACACGGCCCAGACUCCUACGGGAGGCAGCAGUGAGGAAUAUUGCCCAAUGGACGCAAGUCUGAGGCAGCGACGCCGCGUGGGUGAUGAAGGUUUUCGGAUCGUAAAGCCCUUUUCUCGGUGACGAGGAAGGACGGUAACCGAGGAAUAAGUGUCGGCUAACUACGUGCCAGCAGCCGCGGUAAAACGUAGGACGCAAGCGUUAUCCGGAAUUACUGGGCGUAAAGCGCGUGCAGGCGGGUGAGUAAGUCAGCCGUGAAAGCUCCUGGCUAAACUGGGA